ACGAACGCUGGCAGCAUGCCUCACACAUGCAAGUCGAACGAGACCUUCGGGUCUAGUGGCGCACGGGUGCGUAACGCGUGGGAACCUGCCCUUAGGUUCGGAAUAACUCCCCGAAAGGGGUGCUAAUACCGGAUAAUGUCUUCGGACCAAAGAUUUAUCGCCUUUGGAUGGGCCCGCGUUGGAUUAGCUAGUUGGUAGGGUAAAAGCCUACCAAGGCGACGAUCCAUAGCUGGUCUGAGAGGAUGAUCAGCCACACUGGGACUGAGACACGGCCCAGACUCCUACGGGAGGCAGCAGUGGGGAAUAUUGGACAAUGGGCGAAAGCCUGAUCCAGCAAUGCCGCGUGAGUGAUGAAGGCCUUAGGGUUGUAAAGCUCUUUUACCCGGGAUGAUAAUGACAGUACCGGGAGAAUAAGCUCCGGCUAACUCCGUG
rnacentral:rRNA from 1 species